rnacentral:rRNA from 1 species
UUAAACGUAGGCCUCAAGCGUUAUCCGGAGUUAUUGGGCGUAAAGAGUGCGUAGGCGGCCCGUCGCGUUUUCUGUUAAAGAUCGAGGCUCAACCUCGAGCAUGCGGAGAAUACGGGCGGGCUAGAGAGCGGAAGGGGGUGCCGGAAUUCUGCAUGGAGGGGUGAAAUCCGUUGAUAUGCAGAGGAACGCCGAAGGCGAAGGCAGGCACCUGGGACGAUUCUGACGCUGAGGCACGAAAGCUAGGGGAGCGAAAGGGAUUAGAUACCCCUGUAGUCCUAGCCGUAAACGAUGCUCGCUAGAUUGUGGUCCACCUCUGGUGGGUCACAGUCGCAGGUAACCCGUUAAGCGAGCCGCCUGGGAAGUACGGCCGCAAGGCUA